rnacentral:rRNA from 1 species
UGGGGAAUAUUGGACAAUGGGGGCAACCCUGAUCCAGCAAUGCCGCGUGUGUGAAGAAGGCCUGCGGGUUGUAAAGCACUUUCAGUGGGGAGGAAGGCUUUGGUGUUAAUAACACUGAAGAUUGACGUUACCCAAAGAAGAAGCACCGGCUAACUCUGUGCCAGCAGCCGCGGUAAUACAGAGGGUGCAAGCGUUAAUCGGAAUUACUGGGCGUAAAGGGCGCGUAGGUGGUUAAUUAAGUCAGAUGUGAAAUCCCUGGGCUUAACCUAGGAAUUGCAUAUGAAACUGAUUGUCUAGAGUUCGGGAGAGGGAAGUGGAAUUUCCGGUGUAGCGGUGAAAUGCGUAGAUAUCGGAAGGAACACCAGUGGCGAAGGCGACUUCCUGGCCCGAUACUGACACUGAGGCGCGAAAGCGUGGGGAGCGAACAGGAUUAGAUACCCCUGUAGUCC